GUUUACAUGUUCUUAAUUUUACAGUUUUUGAUAACCCACUGGCAUCUUCACAGCCGUCCUGGAAAAUGUGAGGUUUGGUUUCCAGGAUGCUGGCCUGCAGGUUUUUGGAUUGACAGAAUCCUGAGAAAGUCUGGGUGCAAUGCGGUUAAGAACAUGGACCCUGGAGCAAGAUGUUCUGCAUCACCAUUCUGA
rnacentral:lncRNA from 13 species